AACGAACCGUGCGAACAUUAUUCGGAAUCACUGGGCUUAAAGGGUGCGUAGGCGGGGUGUCAAGUCUGGGUGAAAUCCCACGGCUCAACCGUGGAAUUGCCUCAGAUACUGACGACCUCGAGGGAGGUAGGGGCGAGCGGAACUGUGGGUGGAGCGGUGAAAUGCGUUGAUAUCCACAGGAACUCCGGUGGCGAAGGCGGCUCGCUGGACCUCUUCUUACGCUGAGGCACGAAAGCUAGGGGAGCAAACGGG
rnacentral:rRNA from 1 species